AUCAGAUUUGAGGCCCGUUUACCUUUGGAAAAAUUGCGAAAAUGUGUUGACCUUAUUUCUGAUUUUCAAAAGCGUAAGAAGAUUACCUUAAGGGAAAUUCAAUCUUUAAUUGGCCUUUUAAAUUUUGCAUGUUCUGUCAUCAUUCCCGGCAGGGCAUUCUUGCGUCGCUUAAUUGAUCUCACCCACGGCAUCCGUUUAUCUCAUCACCUUAUCAGGCUUAAUCGCGAGACAAAACAAGACUUAAAUGUGUGGCUAUCGUUUUUAGCAAAUUACAAUGGCCGGUCAUUUUUUCUCGAGGAACGCUGGGCAAAUUCCCAGCAACUUAAUUUAUUCACGGAUGCUGCGGGUGGAAUUGGUUUCGGCGCAAUUUUUGGCACAGAAUAUUGCCAUGGCCUCUGGCCUGAUGAAUGGCGUUAUCGUAACAUCGCGAUCUUAGAGUUUUAUCCGAUUGUACUCAGUCUCUGCUUAUGGGGUCAUAAGAUGGCGAACCACAGUGUUUUAUUUUUCACCGAUAACGAAGCUUUGGUUUAUGUCAUCAAUAAACAGUCAUGCAAAGACAAGAUUCUGAUGCAGUUUGUUCGGAAACUUGUUCUUGUAUGCCUGCAACAUAAUAUUCUAUUCAAAGCAAAGCAUAUCCCUGGGACGUAUAAUCGUUUGGCUGACCUGUUGUCUCGCUUUCAGGUUCAAACCUUUCAACGCGAAACAUCAGCCUCGAUGAAUUCUUGCGCAACAGACAUCCCUCAAGCUCUGCUGCCACAAAAUUGGGAAAUAUCGUUUCCCUCUUGACACGAUCCAGCCUGCAGCGCUCAUCGAUCCUUACUUAUCAACGCGCUUGGAAACUUUUUGACCAGUUCUAUUUACAUAUAUCCGAUACUAUUUCAUACACAUUGCCUAUUUCACCUCAUACUUUGGCACUUUUCAUUGCAUACAUGUUUGAUCGGCGGUACGCCCCCGCAACUGUCAACACAUAUGUCUCCGCUCUCGGGUAUUCACAUAAACUUUUCAAUUUGACUGACCCAACAGAAGUCUUUUUCAUAAUGCAAAUGCUAAAGGGCUAUGGAAAACUGGGCUUUCGCUUGGAUAGUCGGUUACCAAUAACCCUUCCAAUCCUUACCCGAUUACUUAUGGCUGCUUCACAGUGUAUUACCACUACCUAUGACCAAUGCCAAUUUAAAGCCAUGUGUGCUCUGGCAUUCUUCGCCUUUCUACGUAUUGGCGAACUAACUUCAACAUCAAAGC
rnacentral:lncRNA from 1 species